rnacentral:rRNA from 1 species
CCCUUAGAUGUUCUGGGCCGCACGCGCGCUACACUGUUCGACGCAGCGAGUCUUAACCUUGACCGAAAGGUUUGGGUAAUCUUCAGCAAAGUCGAACGUGAUGGGGAUCGAUCAUUGCAAUUAUUGAUCGUGAACGAGGAAUUCCUAGUAAGUGCGAGUCAUCAGCUUGCGCUGAUUACGUCCCUGCCCUUUGUACACACCGCCCGUCGCUACUACCGAUUGAAUGGUUUAGUGAGAUCUCUGGAUUGACGCUGGCUAGGGGGCGACCCUUGGCCAGGCUGUCGAGAAACUGCUCAAACUUGAUCAUUUAGAGGAAGUAAAAGUCGUAACA